rnacentral:rRNA from 1 species
AUUGAACGCUGGCGGCAGGCCUAACACAUGCAAGUCGAGCGGAGCGGCGGACGGGUGAGUAAUGCCUAGGAAUCUGCCUGGUAGUGGGGGAUAACGUCCGGAAACGGGAGCUAAUACCGCAUACUAUCAGAUGAGCCUCGGUCGGAUUAGCUAGUUGGUGGGGUAAAGGACUACCAAGGCGACGAUCCGUAAAUGGUCUGAGAGGAUGAUCAGUCACAGUGGAACGUAGAAGCGGUCCAGACGCCUACGGGAGUCAGCAGUGGGGAAUAUUGGACAAUGGGCGAAAUCCUGAUCCAGCCAUGCGGCGUGUGUGAAGAAGGUCUUCGGAUUGUAAAGCACUUUAAGUUGGGAGGCGUUACCAACAGAAUAAGCACCGGCUAACGUCGUGCCAGCAGCCGCGGUAAUAC